UUGAGAGGAAUAUUACCAAUUUGAUAACUUGAAUGGGGAUACAAGUAAAAUCGAAAAGGUGGAUACAUUUAGCACUCGAAAUAAAAGAAAAACAGUGAAUGCUCCUGAUGAUUUGAUGGCGGCAUUUUCUAAUGAAGAGAUAUACAAGCUAGCUGCACUAGAGGUAAUGUUUUUGGCUAACUCAAUGUGCUCAUAGAUCUCGUCUAAGGUUCUUGCUUGCGUUUGCGUUUGAGUCAGAAAGAAAAUAUAUGGUUGUUCAGCCAGUUAUGUUUAGCAAUGGGUAUGUAAGUCCAUAACAUUUUAUGUACCGGGAGUGUGUGUGUGUGUUUUUAUAUGUUUUGUGAUUGCCUAAACCUUUUAUGGUUGUUUUAAGUAUGGUCAGUUUAUCUUUUAUAUAAUUUUUAUAUUGGAUUCAUAGAAGUUGAAUUAGACUAACUAGAGAAGAAGACGAAAAGUAAAGUAUACAAACACGACCGUAAAUAAACUUAAAUAAACAGUAAUAAUUUAAAACAA
rnacentral:lncRNA from 1 species